GCCCAAGCAAGCCAGGAAGGAGGAGGCAGCCAGAGUGUUCUCUGCAGCAGAAGACCCCUUGCUGCCUUGCUUAACCCAGACCAGCAUUUGCCAGGGAGCAACUGUGUGGAAAAGGCGGCAGCUGGUCAGCGUCAAUUUGCCUGCAUCAGAAAUGUUGGGUGUGCCCAUGGCUAAUCCUGUGUGUGGCAGCUCUCAUGAGAGUUCGCGAGCAGCUGACGAGAGUUGUGAGAGCUGGCAAGGAGGGAAGGAGGGAGACCAAGGAGGAGGAGGCGACACCGUUGUGAGCUGCCAAGGAUGGUCGAGCAGGCAGCGAAAAUGGGGCCAUUGGCCUCGCUAGGAGGAUGAAAUCUGGUGGUGGUAGCUCACCUUUUCAUCUGAAUUAGGCAAUCUUGUGGAACAAUGCACAUUGAAAUAUAUACAGAUGGUUUAUAGAAUUCAGUCUGUUGAAAGAAAGAAAAGAAAAGGAAAAGAAAAAGAAAGAACCCAGUUUUUUGCUAAAGAGUUAGGCUUUGAUGGGCUUGUACUAUGUUCCAGAUUAAUGCGACUGCUAUGCUGCCACCCACCACCGAAAAAAGAAAAAGGAAAAAAGAACAAAGUCACAUUGUUCAGAGCAAGCAUACCAAUAUCUGGUGGAACAAAUACACAAUCGCAUGCCCAGACCUCAAUCUCUAAACCCAGCUGGACAAAGACCGAGCGAAAAUGCACACAACAGCAAGCAAGAGAAAAACACCUUUAUCUCAUUUCAAAAGGGCUCCAUCAAGAACAAUUCUGUGCUAUGAUUUCUUUUUUUGAUCCAGAUGUUACAUGAAAAAUGUUUUUCUUUGAUGAAUCAACACUGAGUGGCUCGGAGGAGGAAAUAUGCAUUUGCCAGGCACUCUGAAGUUCACAUUCUGCAACUCCUUCGUGCGAUGCUUCAUUCUGUCACAAUUUAAGGAGCAAAGAUGUUUUUCAUUGGCUUCAAUGUGAAAAUGUAUGAAGCAAUCUGUACAGCCGUUCCCAUACCCUUUUGCUGGAUUAAUGGAUUUGGUUUUACAAUGGUUAGCAUAUGACAGGGUCAGUGUGGUGGUUGUUUCCUCAGAUGCCCUGUAACUAUGCUUUGGACAUGAAUCAUGAAGAAAAGCUGGCCGCUGCCAUGGCUGGUUUGGAGGCUGUGCACAGUUGGGCUGAAGUCCACUUUCCAGUGCCUGGAAAGAUUAUUAUAUUCUCCCCCUGUUUUUGUUUAUGUAUAAUGGCUGUGAUCUAGAGUUUCCUAGGGGCCCCAAAUGCACACAUGAACCUAGUUGCAAAAAGGGUCAGCCCCAUGGCCCUAAGUGUGAGGACCAAAUAUGUGUGAUGGCAGCCAAUCUCCCCCCCCCCCACCCACAGCAUGAUGAUGCUUAAUUUGCAGGGGAGGGGGGCCUCCAAAGGCCUUUAAGUCCAGGCUCCAAAAUUACCUAGGUGUACCUCUGGCUGGAGGGGCAGUUUAGUGUAAGGAAAUGGAAAGAUGGAAAAGGGUCAGCAGCACAGUGAGCUCUAUCCCUCCUACUUUUCUGUCUCCAAUGGGUUCCUCCUGAAGUGGCUUUUCAGGGCCUAAUAUUACAUGUGUUUGGCCCUUGGAGAAGAUUCCUUUGAUGUGGAGCAUUCCCCAGAACAGUUGGGAGAGAAUCAGCAAGGCUGUCCACAUGGAGUUCUGUGCAUACAAGUGUCUCCUAUGCCUAGUGAGGCCCUGUCCAACUCCAGCACAGCAUCCCUCCAGUGGUUGUUGCUGGUGUCCACGUUGUGUUUCUUUUUUAGAUGGUGAGCUCUUUGGGGACAGGAAACAAUCUUCUCCAUUAUUCUUAUUCUUUUUCUAUGUAAACAACUUUGAGAACCUUUUUGUUUACAUGUAAAUAUAAAUAAAUAAAUAAAUGAUAAACAAACAAACCAAUAAAUAUUUGUUGCAGUGAA